GACGAACGCUGGCGGCGUGCUUAACACAUGCAAGUCGAACGGAAAGGCCCUGCUUUUGUGGGGUGCUCGAGUGGCGAACGGGUGAGUAACACGUGAGUAACCUGCCCUUGACUUUGGGAUAACUUCAGGAAACUGGGGCUAAUACCGGAUAGGAGCUCUUGCUGCAUGGUGGGGGUUGGAAAGUUUCGGCGGUUGGGGAUGGACUCGCGGCUUAUCAGCUUGUUGGUGGGGUAGUGGCUUACCAAGGCUUUGACGGGUAGCCGGCCUGAGAGGGUGACCGGCCACAUUGGAACUGAGAUACGGCCCAGACUCCUACGGUAGGCAGCAGUGGGGAAUAUUGCACAAUGAGCGGAAGCCUGAUGCAGCAACGCCGCGUGCGGGAUGACGGCCUUCGGGUUGUAAACCGCUUUCGCCUGUGACGAAGCGUGAGUGACGGUAAUGGGUAAAGAAGCACCGGCUAACUACGUG
rnacentral:rRNA from 1 species